CAGCCGCCGCGGGAAUACGUAGGGUGCAAGCGUUAAUCGGAAUUACUGGGCGUAAAGCGUGCGCAGGCGGUUCGCUAAGACAGAUGUGAAAUCCCCGGGCUUAACCUGGGAACUGCAUUUGUGACUGGCGGGCUAGAGUAUGGCAGAGGGGGGUAGAAUUCCACGUGUAGCAGUGAAAUGCGUAGAGAUGUGGAGGAAUACCGAUGGCGAGGGCAGCCCCCUGGGCCAAUACUGACGCUCAUGCACGAAAGCGUGGGGAGCAAACAGGAUUAGAUACCCGUGUAGUCCCUGUCUCUUAUAC
rnacentral:rRNA from 1 species